rnacentral:rRNA from 1 species
GCCCUUGCCAGGCCCUACGGGGCGCAGCAGGCGCGAAAAUUUCGCAAUGCGCGAAAGCGCGACGGAGUUACCCCAAGUGCCACCCGCUAAGGGUGGCUUUUGCCUAGUGUAAAUAGCUAGGCGAAUAAGGGGAGGGCAAGUCUGGUGUCAGCCGCCGCGGUAAUACCAGCUCCCCGAGUGAUGGGGACGAUUAUUGAGCCUAAAGCGUCCGUAGCCGGCUCGGCACGUCCUCGGUUAAAUCUGGCGAUCCAAUCGCUAGGCCGCUGGGGAUACUACCGAGCUAGGGGGCGGGAAAGGCCAGCGGUACUCCCAGGGUAGGGGUGAAAUCCGUUAAUCCUGGGAAGACCACCAGUGGCGAAGGCGGCUGGCUAGACCGCGCCCGACGGUGAUGGACGAAAGCUAGGGGAGCGAACCGGAUUAGAUACCCGGGUAGUCCUAGCCGUAAACGAUGCGGGCUAGGUGUUGGAGUAGCCGCGAGCUACUCCAGUGCCGUAGGAAAGCCGUUAAGCCCGCCGCUUGGGGAGUACGGCCGCAAGGCUGAAACUUAAAGGAAUUGGCGGGGGGGCACCACAAGGGGUGAAGCCUGCGGUUCAAUUGGAGUCAACGCCGGA